rnacentral:rRNA from 1 species
AUGGCUGCAGCUGCGGGUCGGUUUGGUCUCCCUCGUCGGCGGGCUCGCGGUUGCCGAUGGCCUCGUGGAGAUGUGUGUCGGCUACCAUGGCGGGGCGACAUGGGGGUGCUGGCGGGGGAGCUUGGUAGGAGGGAUAGGUGGCCUCGAUGCGGUCGCGCCACCUAUCGCCGACACGGUUUGCCGGUCCGGAUCCGUCCGCUCCUCCUUCUUCCCCUUUCCCCUUGUUCGGCGGGGAGCUUGGUUGGAGGGAUGGGUGGACUCGAUGUGGUCGCGUCACCCGUCGCCGGCACGGUUUGCCGGUCCGGAUUCGUCCGCUCCCCUUUCUCCCCCUCUCCUCAGCCGCGGGCGGGUUGGCGCAGGUUUACCAGCGGAGCGUCUGUGGGUGGUUUUGUCAGUCGAGGGCCAUUGGUUGGUCCAAAGCUGGGGCCUUUGUGUAGGUCUUGGGGUUGUCUGGUUGUAGGGCGGCGGCUCUGGCGGCGGGAGGCGCGACGUUCGUGGGCGGAGCGUGCGUCUCAGGUGCGGGCAGGCAACCAUGGCCGCGUGGGUGGCGUGGUUGCGGGUGGUUGGCGGAGUUCAGGUUCGACGGCGGGGUGUGAGUGCCGGGGUACACCACCUAUCCAGUACUUUGACUGGCCGACGGUGGCGGUGGCCUUUGCCGCCGUACCCUUCCUGAAGGCUCCGUCGCGGCAUUUCCACUCUUGUCGUCUUGCUCCGGGUGAAAACCUGAUCUUCGCUGAUCGGGCGGUGGCGGCUAUCCAUGGUCGUAUCCUUCUUGGAGGCACCGCUUUGGAGGCCUGGCUUCGUUUUGGUCCGGUUCACCUCUCUAUUGGUAGUCGGUGGGGUGGUGUGUCGGUGCCUGGCACCUUUGUAUCUUGCCUUGGGUGUGUGCGGUGUGUGCGUUGUUCGGUAUCUCGGAUGUACUCGAUGAUGUUUGCUUUAUAA